UACGUAGGGGGCAAGCGUUGUCCGGAAUCAUUGGGCGUAAAGCGCGCGUAGGCGGACCUGCAAGUCGGGGGGUGAAAGCCCGAGGCUCAACCUCGGAACUGCCUUCGAUACUGCGGGUCUCGAGUCCGGGAGAGGUGAGUGGAAUUCCUGGUGUAGCGGUGAAAUGCGCAGAUAUCAGGAGGAACACCGGUGGCGAAGGCGCCACUCUGGGCCGAAACUGACGCUGAGGAGCGAAAGCGUGGGUAGCAAACAGG
rnacentral:rRNA from 1 species